rnacentral:misc_RNA from 1 species
GUGAGUCAUCGAAUCUUUGAACGCACAUUGCGCCUCCCUUUACCGGGGGGCAUGCCUGUCUGAGCGUCAUUUAAACCUAUGGACCCGACAGGGUUCCGUAUUGGGCCUCGCCCCCCUCUCUGAGCGGCGUCGCCUCAAAGAUAUCAGCUUUAUGUAGCGGAUGGGAUCUUUAUAGACUGACCGUUCCAUAGCUGGAGUUUAACUCUGAUUUGACCUCAGAUCAGGUAGGGACACCGCCUGAACUUAAGCAUAUCAAUAAGCGGAGGA